rnacentral:rRNA from 1 species
AACGAACGCUGGCGGCAUGCCUAACACAUGCAAGUCGAACGAAGCCUUCGGGCUUAGUGGCGCACGGGUGCGUAACGCGUGGGAAUCUGCCCUUCGGUUCGGAAUAACAGUUAGAAAUGACUGCUAAUACCGGAUAAUGACGUAAGUCCAAAGAUUUAUCGCCGAAGGAUGAGCCCGCGUAGGAUUAGCUAGUUGGUGAGGUAAAGCUCACCAAGGCGACGAUCCUUAGCUGGUCUGAGAGGAUGAUCAGCCACACUGGGACUGAGACACGGCCCAGACUCCUACGGGAGGCAGCAGUGGGGAAUAUUGGACAAUGGGCGAAAGCCUGAUCCAGCAAUGCCGCGUGAGUGAUGAAGGCCUUAGGGUUGUAAAGCUCUUUUACCCGGGAUGAUAAUGACAGUACCGGGAGAAUAAGCUCCGGCUAACUCCGUGCCAGCCGCC